GAUCAUUACGCCCUUAUUUGGGGCGGGCUGGACCUCUCGGGGUUACAGCCUUGCUGAAUUAUUCACCCUUGUCUUUUGCGUACUUCUUGUUUCCUUGGUGGGUUCGCCCACCACUAGGACAAACAUAAACCUUUUGUAAUUGCAAUCAGCGUCAGUAACAAAUUAAUAAUUACAACUUUCAACAACGGAUCUCUUGGUUCUGGCAUCGAUGAAGAACGCAGCGAAAUGCGAUAAGUAGUGUGAAUUGCAGAAUUCAGUGAAUCAUCGAAUCUUUGAACGCACAUUGCGCCCUUUGGUAUUCCAAAGGGCAUGCCUGUUCGAGCGUCAUUUGUACCCUCAAGCUUUGCUUGGUGUUGGGCGUCUUGUCUCUAGCUUUGCUGGAGACUCGCCUUAAAGUAAUUGGCAGCCGGCCUACUGGUUUCGGAGCGCAGCACAAGUCGCACUCUCUAUCAGCAAAGGUCUAGCAUCCAUUAAGCCUUUUUUUCAACUUUUGACCUCGGAUCAGGUAGGGAGACCCGCUGAACUUAAGCAUAUCAAUAAGCGGAGGAA
rnacentral:rRNA from 1 species